rnacentral:sRNA from 1 species
UACCCUCACCACCACCACUGGACUUUCGU